rnacentral:rRNA from 1 species
UACGGAGGGUGCGAACGUUAAUCGGAAUCACUGGGCGUAAAGCGCGCGUAGGCGGUUUGCUAAGUGGGAUGUGAAAUCCCCGGGCUUAACCUGGGAAUUGCAUUUCAAACUGGCCGACUAGAGUACGGUAGAGGGAGGUAGAAUUUCCUGUGUAGCGGUGAAAUGCGUAGAUAUAGGAAGGAAUACCAGUGGCGAAGGCGGCCCCCUGGAUCGAUACUGACGCUGAGGCGCGAAAGCGUGGGGAGCAAACAGG